AACGAACGCUGGCGGCGCGUCUUAAACAUGCAAGUCGAACGGCAGGACGCUGCUUUCCCCUUCUGAUAGUGUCGGACUCGUGAGUAACACAUGGGUGACAUACCUUUUAGUUUUGGAUAGCUAUUAGAAAUAGUAGGUAAUACCGAAUGUAACCGUACCUGUUACAGGGGUACGAGUAAAGGAGCUAGGCCUUCGCUAAAAGAAUGGCUCGCGGCCCAUUAUGCUCGGUGGUGAGGUAAUGGCCCACCAUGGCGAUGAUGGGUAUCCGGACUGGGAGGGUGAACGGACACAUUGGGACUGAGCUACGGACCAGACUUCUACGGGAGGCAGCAGUUAAGAAUAUUACGCAAUGGACGAGAGUCUGACGGAGCGACGCCGAGUGGAUGAAGGAUGCGGAAAGGUUGUAAAAUCCUUUUAAGGGUGAUGAAUAAGUACAGUAGGGAAUGAUGCUGCGGUGACGGUAGUGCGUGAAUAAGCACCGGCUAAUUACGUG
rnacentral:rRNA from 1 species